rnacentral:rRNA from 1 species
UACGGGGGGAGCAAGCGUUGUUCGGAUUUACUGGGCGUAAAGGGCGCGUAGGCGGCGUAACAAGUCACUUGUGAAAUCUCCGGGCUUAACUCGGAGCGGUCAAGUGAUACUGUCGUGCUAGAGUGCGGAAGGGGCUACUGGAAUUCUCGGUGUAGCGGUGAAAUGCGUAGAUAUCGAGAGGAACACCUGCGGCGAAGGCGGGUAGCUGGGCCGACACUGACGCUGAUGCGCGAAAGCCAGGGGAGCGAACGGG